GAUGCUGAAGAAGCUGGUCAAGGAGCCUCGGAGGGAGGAGGCUCCUCCUCUGAGAGGAGCCACUGAAGCGCAGCAGUGACUGCCCCCCGCUUGAAGACCCACUGCAUCUAGUGCUUGGUACCACGGAAUCCUGCAGGAAUCAUCCCUGGGCCUUCCUCCACUCUUGAGAGAUGGCCCUGGUCACACCCCCCUCCGUAGACGUUGAAAAUAAAUAGGCAGAGGACCAGGGACAUGAUUUUGUGAAUCAACGUGUCUAGUGUUGGUCACUGGGAGAGUCUAAGGAACUAGGAAUGGUAGUAGGUUUUUAACUUAGACCCCAGGGUCAAGUUCAGGCUCUGCCACUUCUUAGAUAUACCAGACAUCUCAUUUACUCGCUCUGACUGUUUCCUCAUUUGCUUAAAAAUUAAAAAAUAAAGGACUAGUAAAAGAUGAGCGCGGGUAAAGCGCUGCUAGGAUGUAGUCAGCAUUCUGUGUGGCCUCUCAGCUGACGAUCUCAUCCUAAGGUGCCAUGCCAGAAUGGACCUGAAGAGGUCCAGAAUCUGGAGCAUAAACUGACCGCAGGAGAGGUGCUGGGGCAGCGGGUCAACGUCUGCUCCCAUCACUUAGCAUAACAGAAGAGCCUUUCCCUCGGACCAACCCUCCAAUGAGUUCUUCAGCCUUCCUAAAGGCUGGGCACCAGGCAGUCUCUACAGGGGUCCUUGUGGGCAAGUUUUUGUUGUUGCUGUUGUUGUUGUUGUUUUACAUUCCUGCCGGAGUAAGACACCCUGCCUUGAAAACUAAAGGACAAUCCCUGUAAGGAACCUGCAUCUCCAAACAGUAACUAUAAGAGAAGUGACCUAACAGACACCACAGAUUCUUCGUAGGGUAAACUGAGUAAAGCAGUGGUUUAAAACAGCAAUGGUGCCGUUGUUGAACUAGAUGCAAAAUUUGGCUUUUUACACCAACUUUAAAAUAAAGGACCUGAACCAGACAGGAAGAUUUUA